rnacentral:rRNA from 1 species
GCACAACGCGAAGAACCUUACCCACCUUUGACAUGUACGGAAUCCUUUAGAGAUAGAGGAGUGCUCGAAAGAGAGCCGUAACACAGGUGCUGCAUGGCUGUCGUCAGCUCGUGUCGUGAGAUGUUGGGUUAAGUCCCGCAACGAGCGCAACCCUUGCCAUUAGUUGCUACAUUUAGUUGAGCACUCUAAUGGGACUGCCGGUGACAAACCGGAGGAAGGUGGGGAUGACGUCAAGCCCUCAUGGCCCUUAUAGGUGGGGCUACACACGUCAUACAAUGGCUGGUACAAAGGGUUGCCAACCCGCGAGGGGGAGCUAAUCCCAUAAAGCCAGUCGUAGUCCGGAUCGCAGUCUGCAACUCGACUGCGUGAAGUCGGAAUCGCUAGUAAUCGUGGAUCAGAAUGUCACGGUGAAUACGUUCCCGGGUCUUGUACACACCGAGUCGUGGGAGGCAAGGCACGGGGGACAGGGGGGGAUA